AUUCAGCAGAAUACCCCUAACCAGGACUAAAAUUUUUCAGGAAGAACUCCAUACGCAGUUUCCGUUAUUUCUCAUCCUCCAGGCUCAGCACCAUAUAAACUCUGAGUCGUCAAGUGUCUAUUGAGCAUUCUCCUGAAGAUCCUGUUCAUGCCAAUGCUCCCUUCGUCGCUUUUGCUAACAGCAGUAACGGCAAUGCUUCAUCCAAGUCCUGGUGCGAUAAGUGAAAACUGAUGAAAGGGAAGACAGCAUUCGCCGUCGUCCUGGGACGUCCUGAACUUGCACUUCCUCCUUUUUCUACAUCCAGAGCAUCCUAACACUGACCUGCUUAUAUUCGUCUCAUGCGACAAAGACUACCUCAAGAUGGUCAAUUCAUUCUAGACAGAUUCCGUUUUGCGUAUACUUGCCAGAUAAAUUCAUAGAUCAAGCAGUGUAUAUAGAUAUAAAUCUGUGCAUUGCUUUCCAAUGAGAUCGCCUUAGUGCACUUAUGCAGAAACAUGCAAUAAUAAUCGGCUUCCCGCAAUAUAGAGACUCCUUACGACGGAGCUUGCAAGCUUCUUUACCGCAAUGACAUAUUCCAAGAUUAAACGUUAUUUCGCUCCAAUUCUCAGCCCUGAAAAUUAUAAGACAUUUACACGAAGCAUCUCUGUUCCAUCACUUUUAAGCAGUAGUUCAGUACUGUCAGUCUUUAACCUACUCUUAUACGCAUUUCUGGUCCAGAAUCAAUGUUAGUCAGUAAAAGUAUAUUAAAAUAAUGAGUUAGAUGAGUUUAUAAUGAAUUGUAAAGCCUCGGUAAACGCUAGUAAUAUUAUUGCUUUAAUUUUUAUUAAUAUUUAUCAAACUGUCACUGCGGACAUUCGUUGUGUCAUUUGAUGUAGCGACCUUUGACCUUCUAUUUCAAAAUCUAUAUCAAUCUGUCAGUCAAUCAUGAUUGGUUGGCUUUGUCUCUAUGGGGAUCAAAGAGCACGCUGACAUUUCUCACAGAGUGGAUACGAGCUUAGAGAAGUUUACAAGCUUAGGAAGUCCUCGCGCUGCUUGAGCAUGCAGGCAAAUCUUGUCAUGGCGAAUUACAAUUAUUCUGAAUUGUUAAGUGGAAAGUUUCUCAUAAGUUCAAUACGACAACCAACAGUGACGGGAAGUUGUUAAACUACGUUCUGAUUACAGAGUACACAAGUAGCCUGGUACAGCCAUAGCCAAGUACCACUGAUAAAUACUUCAAACUUAA